CUGCAGAAUGUUGAGGAGGCAAGGCAGCGGUGCAUUUGCUUGUGUGGAGCGCACCGCCUGCAAGCGGUUGCCUUGGCAGAAAGAUGACUUUUGUGAUCACCAUGUGGUUAGCUGAGGAAACGCCUCUCUCAAACGCCUUCAUGUCAGGAGACUGCACCUAGGAGCAUAGUCUAUGUAGCCAAUGUUUCCCCUCCCCCCGCUUUCUCAGUUAUCUUUCAGGAACUAAUGCACAUAUAGAUUGAUUAUAUUACAUUAUUAAAUGGUGGAAUGUUCACACAUUUUAAUCCAGACUUUAAUUUAGAACAAAGCAUGUUUAGUAUUCACGUGCGAACAGGGGAAAAAAGUGUCAUCUUGAUAAAACAACUAAUCUUCA